GCCAAAUGAUAUUAAUCUGGUAACAGGAGCACUUUAGUGCCAGGACAGCUUUAUCUGUCACCCAUCAUUGAUGGCU